UAUAUUACUCUGGAACAAAGAGGACAAACAGUGUUGUACAGGACAAUAAGCAGGACGUUAAAGAGCAAACUUCACUUUCCCCCAGAAUGACAUAAACAGGAAACGAUCGCAGCUCACACAACCUGAUUUACUGGCAUAAAACAAACACAAUAACA